GGCACUAGCUCUUAGGUGGUUCGUGGUUGGUGGCAGAGAGAAUAUAUGCGCAAGGGGAGCGGGGCAAGAGAGGACGAGGGUCGUGGCGGGCAGCGUCCCUGCCGAGUAGAAGCAAGGCAGCGCCCCUAGCACUCACCACCUGCUAAGCGGAGAGGUUUAUGUACAGAUAGGGAAUUCGCUUCCCUAAAACACCGGAAGGCAAACACUGCCGACUUAGCCAACUACGCAGUCUAGGCAGUCAAAUACGGUAGACGAAGGACAAGCGUACGGGGACACCUACAAAUAGAGGCACCUUGCGGUGAGGACGACCAAGUAGAAGUGACCAAAUACUACGGGUGCCGGUUGCGGUGACUUUAGAAGAGUCUGCUACCAACCACCAAUUCGACUUCUUACGAAAGAACUCCGAAAGAACAGAGGCGUUCCGCGGUCUUCCUUUGACCGGUAGGCUAUAUACCAAAGACAAACGGCUAGUUUACUACAUGCACAAGGGAAGCCGAGUGUUCUACUACGACCGGACAGAGGUUCGUAGUGUCUUUCCAUUAACACAACCAUUCGACUACUACGCGUACACUCGUGUACGCAUAACAUGAUGAACUACAUGGUCAUGUAACCAUCCGAUCCUGCCGGAAACGGUACAUCCCACGCGAGCGGAACCGUCCGGUGCUCUGUUAUUUUUCAUAUAAACCACCACAAACGCCCCACCUCUAGCGUGCCCUUGUUAGAUAAACAAGAUGAAACGGGCCCAAGAGGUGGGACGGUACACAGAGACAGGAAGAGGACACAAACUAAAACGCCGUAGUUGACUUCAUGUGGUGCUAGCAUGUAUCGUUUAUACAGUCUGUCCGGACCCGCGUCGCCAUUGAUGCAACACUCCUAGUUAAAUUGAUGCGUGCUUCCAUGUAGAUUGACGAAGAAAGUCGCAAUAUAGUUAAAUUUAAACUUCACUGGGACUUUGUAACCAUGGGAAAAGACUUCCCAGUUAGACUUGACUGGAGCAUCAACAGCUAGGUUUUUACGAACACGCUCGUUGACAUAUUUACCACCUGGAAGUCAAACUAUGUUCCAACUAGUAUGGGCAUUAAAACAUGGGAACGUGGGGCUCUUACUUUUAUCCCUUUAAGGGUGGUAGAUGAACGCGUUGUGCCCGAUUCACUAGGACUCUUGAAAAUUAUUGAGACGUAUAAAUAAAAUAGAAUGGUACGGCACAGGCAUCAGAACACCAGGAUUCUUCCGCUCAACGAACGUAAAGGACAACCAAUGGUACUCAUGAAGAGAUACAUAUAUGGUAGCCUUCUGAACUAAGGAAACACAUGUUGAUCAAUCAGAAGCUUUAAAUAAACAUAUGAAUCAAUGACCUCGAACAGGUUUAUAACGACGACGUAGUAUGAUGGAGUGCACCUUUCAACCUAAGCAAAACUCCUAAUGACCUCCGUCUAGAAGUAUAGAUUACUUCAACGUCUGGUCAAUACUAACAGUUACGGUAAAAGCGAGAAUUCUUUACAACGAUCACAAACUAUAUGACUUUGGACUUAACUUCUUACACAACUAUAUAAGACAUUCCACGUCCGCGACGCAGCUCCUUCGGACCAAUCAAUGCGUUAAAGUCGAGCGACUAACGGACGAAUUUAACGUUAUACAUUCUAAUCUCUUGGGUCGCACGCCAAAAAAGUAUCGAAUUUUACAGAAGACACUUCUGACUGAAUAAUACUUGACACUAAGUUAAAUAACUUAUAAAAAAAUGUCAAACAUUAAGAAUAAAAAUACGAAAGGAAGAUUGUUCUUAUACGACUUACAGAAAGACUAAAUAAAAUCACUCGUCCGUUUAAGUUUAACCGACUUUCAGCAAAGUUCAAUCUAACCUAACCUCUUAAAACGAGACGUACCGAGCAGAACCGAACUAGACUUAUAAAAACUAAACAGUUUGUUUAGAUAUUAAAUUAAACAGAAGAUUGUAAACAGAUUGUUAUCGAUACGUACGAAAAUUGGAAACAGAAUUGUUUCAACAAUUUUUGUUUUAAUACAUUAAAAAAGUCAUAUUCGUCCGAAUAAGUUUCACCCAAACAAAGUUUAGUUUAAGUUAACCUAACCUCUUCUUAGAACCCCGACACGAGCUCAGACUUUACCGAACUAGACGUAUAAAACAGUUGAAUCUUCUAAUUUUCUAUUUUCUACUUAUUUACCACCUAGAAGUCGAGACUUGACCUUUCUCGUAAGAUCGUUUGUUUAACGACCCUUACUACCAAGCUGAGGUAGUUCUAGGAAACAAACUCUCAUCAUAGAAGAAUCCCCGGUACUACCAUAAACGUCCUUGGCCCCGGUAAGUCAGAGCAGUAAAGUAGCACCAGGCAUCUGCACCCUUUAUGGCAACACCGCCCGCCGUGUACGGUACGUAACUCUUGGAUUAGACAGUUGUAGAAAAAUACUUGCGUUCUGGUUACGGGAGAAAAAUAACUCAACGCAAGCGGUUGUAGAAAAAUACUUGCGUUUUGGUCACGGGAGAAGAAUAACUCGACAACCCAAACUGAUGAGGGGGAGUGAGUCAAAUGUCCCGCAUGGAGAUCCUGCAGUCAAAUAUUGGCAUUAUGUUCAGUAUAUAAUAUUUUUUAUAUAGUUAUAUUUGAAGUCUACAAGAUAAAAAUUUGCCAUAUUAAAAACACAAUAUAUCAAAUAUAAUCCUACUAUUUUAACCAUCGGAUCCAUAUGUGCAUCCUGAACAUUUGACUUUGCCUCCCUCAUUAACUCUACGCUCAGAACCCUCUGCAUUCCAACCAAAGCAAGAACUACUCGUUUAAUUUAGGACAACCUCGAACCACUCGUUUAAUUUAGGACAACCUCGAGACCCGUUGUUUAACUUAACUCUUAGAGGUUCUGCACCGACCAU
rnacentral:rRNA from 1 species